UGUUAUGGCGGCUGUGCGUAGGAGACCUUCGGGUCUGCCGGGUCCUGGGUCCGGUUCGCUAACCUGCGUACAGCUGCCACCCUU
rnacentral:antisense_RNA from 2 species